rnacentral:misc_RNA from 1 species
GUGAAUUGAAUAUGUUAGCGGACCUCUUCGGAGUCCCUAGCAUCAAAUCAUAUCCAUAACACCUGUGAACUGUAAGGCUGUCUUGAAAACGAAAGUGAUUAGAGCGCCUGCCCAUUUUAUACAAACAUUAAAGUAACAAACGUAGUCUUAUUAUAAUCUAUA